rnacentral:ribozyme from 1 species
GCUUAUCAUUUGGAGGGGGUGAUUCAUGGCAGAGCUAGUGGGGUUGACAAUACAGUUGCUUCUUUUGGAGGGGCCGUGGUUUUUCAGUCUGGAGAUAUGGACUUAGU